rnacentral:rRNA from 1 species
AGAGUUUGAUCAUGGCUCAGAGCGAACGCUGGCGGCGUGCUUAACACAUGCAAGUCGAGUGCGCGUCUGUAGCAAUACAGAUGGCGCACGGCGCACGGGUGCGUAACACGUGGGUAAUCUGCCCUUCGAUGGGGAAUAACCUCGCGAAAGCGAGGCUAAUUCCGCAUAACAUUCCGAUGAUCUUGGUCAAUGGAUUCAAAGCCGUAAGGCGUCGGAGGAGGAGCCCGCGCACGAUUAGCUAGUUGGUGAGGUAACGGCUCACCAAGGCUAUGAUCGUUAGCUGGUCUGAGAGGAUGGCCAGCCACACUGGAACUGAGACACGGUCCAGACUCCUACGGGAGGCAGCAGUGGGGAAUCUUGCACAAUGGGCGAAAGCCUGAUGCAGCGACGCCGCGUGGGGGAUGAAGCUUCUCGGAGUGUAAACCCCUUUCGACCCGGACGAAUGCCUCGCAAGAGGACUGACGGUACGGGUAUAAGAAGCCCCGGCUAACUACGUGCCAGCAGCCGCGAUAAGACGUAGGGGGCCAGCGUUGCUCGGAAUUACUGGGUGUAAAGGGUUCGUAGGCGGUGUGGCAAGUCGGGAGUGAAAUCUCUGGGCUCAACCCAGAGGCUGCUUCCGAAACUGCCGUGCUUGAGUGUGGGAGAGGCGCGUGGAAUUGCAGGUGUAGCGGUGAAAUGCGUAGAUAUCUGCAGGAACACCCGUGGCGAAAGCGGCGCGCUGGACCACAACUGACGCUGAGGAACGAAAGCUAGGGGAGCAAACAGGAUUAGAUACCCUAGUAGUCC